GGAUUUGAGGGUGAUCUGGCUGCAACAUUUGUCACCCCUCUGAUUGCCAGGGUUGAUUCAGCUGAUCUGGCUGGCUAGGCGGGUGUCCCCUUCCUCCCUCACCGCUCCAUGUGUGUCCUUCCUAAAGCUGUGUUCUCGGUGGAAGAGGACGACCAUCUCCAAUAGAAAAGGACCGUUUCCUCAGUCAAGGUGUAUGAGUAGCUGCAGUCCCCUGCUAGAACCUCCAAACAAACUCUCAAGAGUUUGUAUUAAUUUAUAUUCCCUCCAUACUUUUUCAUGGUUGUGUGACAUUGAAU
rfam:Heterocephalus glaber contig34229, whole genome shotgun sequence.